rnacentral:lncRNA from 1 species
GCCGCCGGACAUUAUCCUCCGCCUGGAUCCUACCCUCCACAAGGAUAUCCUCCUCAAGGAUAUCCCCCACAAGGAUACCCACCGGCUGGAUAUCCUCCACCAGCGGGAUAUCCUCCACAUGGCGGAUACCCACCUGCAGGGUAUCCUCCUCAUGGAGGAUACCCUCAUCCACCUCAUGGUGGAUAUCCACCAGCUGGUUAUCCUGGUAUGCUCCAUCAUCCUUCAUUAUGGGUCCUCUGCCUGCUGUUACAUUUGCCUCGUAUAUCAAUGAGUUGACAUGAAUGGUAAAAUUUUACAGGACACGGUUCGCAUGGACCUGGGAUGGGAGGAUUAUUAGCCGGUGCUGGGGCUGCGGCUGCUGCUCUUUACGGGGCUCACCAUUUGUCACAUGGAGCUCAUCAUCUUGCACAUGGGGGAUACUA